rnacentral:rRNA from 1 species
GUGAGGAAUAUUGGUCAAUGGGCGGGAGCCUGAACCAGCCAAGUCGCGUGAAGGAAGAAGGAUCUAUGGUUCGUAAACUUCUUUUGCAGGGGAAUAAAGUGCGGGACGUGUCCUGUUUUGUAUGUACCCUGAGAAUAAGGAUCGGCUAACUCCGUGCCAGCAGCCGCGGUAAUACGGAGGAUCCGAGCGUUAUCCGGAUUUAUUGGGUUUAAAGGGUGCGUAGGUGGUUUGAUAAGUCAGCGGUGAAAGUUUGCAGCUUAACUGUAAAAAUGCCGUUGAAACUGUCGGACUUGAGUGUAAAUGAGGUAGGCGGAAUGCGUGGUGUAGCGGUGAAAUACAUAGAUAUCACGCAGAACUCCGAUUGCGAAGGCAGCUUACUAAGCUACAACUGACACUGAAGCACGAAAGCGUGGGGAUCAAACAGGAUUAGAUACCCUGGUAGUCC